ACGAACGCUGGCGGCGUGCUUAACACAUGCAAGUCGAACGGUGAAGCGCCUUCCUUUUUGGUGGGUGUGGAUGAGUGACGAACGGGUGAGUAACACGUGAGUAACCUGCCCCCUUCUUCUGGAUAACCGCAUGAAAGUGUGGCUAAUACGGGAUAUUCUGGGUCUGUCGCAUGAUGGGUCUGGGAAAGAUAUUGUUUCGGUGGGGGAUGGGCUCGCGGCCUAUCAGCUUGUUGGUGGGGUGAUGGCCUACCAAGGCGGUGACGGGUAGCCGGCCUGAGAGGGUGGACGGUCACACUGGGACUGAGACACGGCCCAGACUCCUACGGGAGGCAGCAGUGGGGAAUAUUGCACAAUGGGCGCAAGCCUGAUGCAGCGACGCCGCGUGAGGGAUGGAGGCCUUCGGGUUGUGAACCUCUUUCGCCAGUGAAGCAGGCCUGCCUCGUUUGUGGGUGGGUUGACGGUAGCUGGAGAAGAAGCGCCGGCUAACUACGUG
rnacentral:rRNA from 1 species